GAUGAAGAACGUAGUGAAAUGCGAUAAUUAAUGUGAAUUGCAGAAUUCAGUGAAUCAUCGAGUCUUUGAACGCACAUUGCGCCCCCUGGUAUUCCGGGGGGCAUGCCUGUCCGAGCGUCAUUGCUGCCCUCAAGCACGGCUUGUGUGUUGGGCUUCCGUCCCUGGCAACGGGGACGGGCCCAAAAGGCAGUGGCGGCACCAUGUCUGGUCCUCGAGCGUAUGGGGCUUUGUCACCCGCUCCCGUAGGUCCAGCUGGCAGCUAGCCUCGCAACCAAUCUUUUUAACCAGGUUGACAUCGGGUCAGGUAGGGAUACCCGCUGAACUUAAGCAUAUCAAUAAGCGGAGGA
rnacentral:misc_RNA from 1 species